rnacentral:rRNA from 1 species
CGAACGGGGAUUACACGGCGAUGCGAUUUCGGUCAAAUCAAGUGCAAUCUUAGUGGCGGACGGGUGAGUAACGCGUGGGUAACCUGCCUUGCACUAGGGGGAUAACACUUAGAAAUAGGUGCUAAUACCGCAUAAGCGCACGGUCCUGCAUGGGACAGUGUGAAAAACUCCGGUGGUGCAAGAUGGACCCGCGUCUGAUUAGCUGGUUGGCGGGGUAAAGGCCCACCAAGGCGACGAUCAGUAGCCGGCCUGAGAGGGUGGACGGCCACAUUGGGACUGAGACACGGCCCAAACUCCUACGGGAGGCAGCAGUGGGGGAUAUUGGACAAUGGGGGGAACCCUGAUCCAGCGACGCCGCGUGAGUGAAGAAGUAUUUCGGUAUGUAAAGCUCUGUCAGCAGGGAAGAAAGCAAUGACGGUACCUGACCAAGAAGCCCCGGCUAACUACGUGCCAGCAGCCGCGGUAAUACGUAGGGGGCAAGCGUUAUCCGGAAUUACUGGGUGUAAAGGGAGCGUUGACGGCUGUGCAAGUCUGGAGUGAAAAGGCGGGGGCCCAACCCCCGGACUGCUCUGGAAACUGUAUGGCUGGAGUGCAGGAGAGGUAAGCGGAAUUCCUAGUGUAGCGGUGAAAUGCG